GGCUCAAUGGUCUAGUCGUAUGAUUCGCGCUUCGGGAGGAUAUCCGAUGCAUAUAUGCAUUCAAAUGUGCGAGGUCCCGAGUUCAAUUCUCGGUUGAGCCC